UACGGGGGGAGCAAGCGUUGUUCGGAUUUACUGGGCGUAAAGGGCGCGUAGGCGGUCGUGACAAGUCACUUGUGAAAUCUCCCGGGCUUAACUCGGAACGGUCAAGUGAUACUGUCGGACUAGAGUACAGAAGGGGCAACUGGAAUUCUCGGUGUAGCGGUGAAAUGCGUAGAUAUCAGGAGGAACACCGGUGGCGAAGGCGGAUCUCUGGGCCUUACCUGACGCUCAGGGUGCGAAAAGCUAGGGGGAGCGAACAGG
rnacentral:rRNA from 1 species